rnacentral:rRNA from 1 species
CCUACGGGAGGCAGCAGUGGGGAAUUUUGGACAAUGGGCGCAAAGCCUGAUCCAGCAAUGCCGCGUGAGUGAAGAAGGCCUUCGGGUUGUAAAGCUCUUUUGUCAGGGAAGAAACGGCUGAGGUUAAUACCUUCGGCUAAUGACGGUACCUGAAGAAUAAGCACCGGCUAACUACGUGCCAGCAGCCGCGGUAAUACGUAGGGUGCAAGCGUUAAUCGGAAUUACUGGGCGUAAAGCGUGCGCAGGCGGUUUUGUAAGUCUGACGUGAAAUCCCCGGGCUCAACCUGGGAAUUGCGUUGGAGACUGCAAGGCUGGAGUCUGGCAGAGGGGGGUAGAAUUCCACGUGUAGCAGUGAAAUGCGUAGAGAUGUGGAGGAACACCGAUGGCGAAGGCAGCCCCCUGGGUCAAGACUGACGCUCAUGCACGAAGGCGUGGGGAGCAAACAGGAUUAGAUACCCUGGUAGUCCACGCCCUAAACGAUGUCUACUAGUUGUCGGUACUUAUUGUACUUGGUAACGCAGACUAACGCGUAGAAGUACGACCGCGUGGGGACGUACGGUCGAACGAAGUAAGUUAAACGUUACGUAAAGGUUAGUUAGGACGGUUCGUUGAGACGUUGACGACGGACGACGACGAGGGAGGAGG